GACGAACGCUGGCGGCGUGCUUAACACAUGCAAGUCGAACGGAAAGGCCCUGCUUUUGUGGGGUGCUCGAGUGGCGAACGGGUGAGUAACACGUGAGUAACCUGCCCUUGACUUUGGGAUAACUUCAGGAAACUGGGGCUAAUACCGGAUAGGAGCUCCUGCUGCAUGGUGGGGGUUGGAAAGUUUCGGCGGUUGGGGAUGGACUCGCGGCUUAUCAGCUUGUUGGUGGGGUAGUGGCUUACCAAGGCUUUGACGGGUAGCCGGCCUGAGAGGGUGACCGGCCACAUUGGGACUGAGAUACGGCCCAGACUCCUACGGGAGGCAGCAGUGGGGAAUAUUGCACAAUGGGCGGAAGCCUGAUGCAGCAACGCCGCGUGCGGGAUGACGGCCUUCGGGUUGUAAACCGCUUUCGCCUGUGACGAAGCGUGAGUGACGGUAAUGGGUAAAGAAGCACCGGCUAACUACGUGCCAGCAGCCGCGGUGAUACGUAGGGUGCGAGCGUUGUCCGGAUUUAUUGGGCGUAAAGGGCUCGUAGGUGGUUGAUCGCGUCGGAAGUGUAAUCUUGGGGCUUAACCCUGAGCGUGCUUUCGAUACGGGUUGACUUGAGGAAGGUAGGGGAGAAUGGAAUUCCUGGUGGAGCGGUGGAAUGCGCAGAUAUCAGGAGGAACACCAGUGGCGAAGGCGGUUCUCUGGGCCUUUCCUGACGCUGAGGAGCGAAAGCGUGGGGAGCGAACAGGCUUAGAUACCCUGGUAGUCCACGCUGUAAACGGUGGGUACUAGGUGUGGGGUCCAUUCCACGGGUUCCGUGCCGUAGCUAACGCUUUAAGUACCCCGCCUGGGGAGUACGGCCGCAAGGCUAAAACUCAAAGGAAUUGACGGGGCCCCGCACAAGCGGCGGAGCAUGCGGAUUAAUUCGAUGCAACGCGUAGAACCUUACCUGGGUUUGACAUGGAUCGGGAGCGCUCAGAGAUGGGUGUGCCUCUUUUGGGGUCGGUUCACAGGUGGUGCAUGGCUGUUGUCAGCUCGUGUCGUGAGAUGUUGGGUUAAGUCCCGCAACGAGCGCAACCCUUGUUCACUGUUGCCAGCACGUUAUGGUGGGGACUCAGUGGAGACCGCCGGGGUCAACUCGGAGGAAGGUGGGGAUGACGUCAAGUCAUCAUGCCCCUUAUGUCCAGGGCUUCACGCAUGCUACAAUGGCUGGUACAGAGAGUGGCGAGCCUGUGAGGGUGAGCGAAUCUCGGAAAGCCGGUCUCAGUUCGGAUUGGGGUCUGCAACUCGACCUCAUGAAGUCGGAGUCGCUAGUAAUCGCAGAUCAGCAACGCUGCGGUGAAUACGUUCCCGGG
rnacentral:rRNA from 1 species